UGCGGGAGUGGAGACCCUGAGGGAGAGAGCCCGCCUAGAUGGAUGCCUGCAGAUUGAAUUUCCAGAGGCUUAGGAAGAGGCAGUUCUCCAAAGGCGUGUUUCCAGGCCUUGCUCUGGAAGCCCUGUAUUCAGGAGGCCAUCAUUUAAGGUUUUCGGAUGAGCUUAUGAGAGGGCAAUCUUAAAAAGUCCAAAGCAGAUGCAUCCGGGGCCAUAAGCAGAUGUGUUUUUUGGCUGAUCCAGGAGCACCAACCUCCGAGCACAUGGAUGUCAGCAGGCAUCCCUCCUUUUCUAGGGUAGAGGUUUUCAGAUGCUGUGUCUUCUUAAUUGAGCCUCCUGUCAUACUAGUAGGGUGCUGUGAACCUUGCUUCAGGAAGAUUCUUAAGCUGUAGAACAUUUUAACGUUGAUCCUACAACGCAGAGUGAUGCCUUGCAGAUGGAGCUUGCAGAUGGAGCCCAGUGACCCUCUCAACCUCCCACCUAUCUGCCUGCCUGUGUGCUGGUUGGAGGAAUUCUUAGUGUGGUCAUAUAACCUGUAUGGGAAAAAGUUCAAGUGUGAAAUGCCUUAGGCAAAUACUUAGAUGAAGCAGACUGACAAACUGAGGGGGGUCAUUGUGUUGUGCUACACUCCGGGAGGGUGCCAGUUGGUCAUGCCCAAAUUCUGUAUUAGAAAUAGCAGGCCUAGUUUGGGUAUUCCCAUUGCAUUGCAGAUUACUAAGAGAAGGGAAUGGUUGGGGUAUCUUUGAUUCAUCUUGCUCUAUAUGUUUUUUAACUUGAAUUUCACUUGAUUAGAUUUCAAAGUAGUCUUGGCUUUCAAAAGGUAGAG